rnacentral:lncRNA from 1 species
CGUGUGCUUCCUGUAUGCAGAUAAAAUGUGAUCCUGUUCCUGCUGCCAGUACAAUAGCCCUCUGGAACUAGCUACAGCCUGUGUCAGAAGCGUCUCCAGAGCUACAGCCUGUGUCAGAAGCGUCUCCAGACAACCAGCUCAAAAUACUGUACCAAAGAGGCACAUUGUGCUGUCUCUCAUGUCUGUAGCGGUGUGAUGCGGUGGUGCACGCCCAGCCCCUUUCCUCCACCCAUCUCCAUCCUUCUCGUUCUUCCGUUGUCCCUUCUCCCAUUUCGCUUUGGUAUGAUCGAGCAUUUUGUUGCUAUGACAAAAUACCUGAGGCAAACAAGCUGUAUAACUGGAGCAAAUAAUUUAAG